GAUGAACGCUGGCGGUAUGCGUUACACAUGCAAGUCGUACGGAAGUUUUUAACUUAAGUGGCGGACGGGUGAGUAACACGUAAGAAUUUACCUUUAGGAAGAGGAUAACAAUUGGAAACGAUUGCUAAAACUCUAUAUGCAUUUUUUGUGAAAUGGGUUACCAGCCUAAAGAAAAGCUUGCGGCUGAUUAGCUUGUUGGUAGGGUAAAGGCUUACCAAGGCGACGAUCAGUAUCUGGUUUGAGAGGAUGAUCAGACACACUGGAACUGAGACACGGUCCAGACUCCUACGGGAGGCAGCAGUGGGGAAUUUUCCGCAAUGGGCGAAAGCCUGACGGAGCAAUACCGCGUGAGGGAUGAAUGCCUAUGGGUUGUAAACCUCUUUUUUCAGGGAGGAAGUAAGUGACGUGUACCUGAAGAAUAAGCAUCGGCUAACUCCGUGCCAGCAGCCGCGGUAAU
rnacentral:rRNA from 1 species